rnacentral:rRNA from 1 species
AUUGAACGCUGGCGGCAUGCCUUACACAUGCAAGUCGAGCGGUAACAGGUCUUCGGAUGCUGACGAGUGGCGAACGGGUGAGUAAUACAUCGGAACGUGCCCGAUCGUGGGGGAUAACGAGGCGAAAGCUUUGCUAAUACCGCAUACGAUCUACGGAUGAAAGCGGGGGAUCUUCGGACCUCGCGCGGACGGAGCGGCCGAUGGCAGAUUAGGUAGUUGGUGGGAUAAAAGCUUACCAAGCCGACGAUCUGUAGCUGGUCUGAGAGGAUGAUCAGCCACACUGGGACUGAGACACGGCCCAGACUCCUACGGGAGGCAGCAGUGGGGAAUUUUGGGCAAUGGGCGAAAGCCUGAUCCAGCCAUGCCGCGUGCAGGAUGAAGGCCUUUGGGUUGUAAACUGCUUUUGUACGGAACGAAAAGCCUCUUUCUAAUAAAGAGGGGUCAUGACGGUACCGUAAGAAUAAGCACCGGCUAACUACGUG